rnacentral:rRNA from 1 species
GUAGUUAGUGUAACUUGUUUAUUUAUGGGUAAAUGUGCCUUUUGCAUCAUGCUUAAAGGAGAUUAUAAAUAAGUUUUGUAACCGAAACUAUUAGAUCUUGUUUGCUGCUUUUUAGUGAUGAGUGUCGAUUCAGGUAGAAGAGUGUUAGAUAGCAAACUCGCUGUGAGAAAUAAAUCGUUAAUAGUUAUAGCUGUUUUAUAGUUUAUGUUUUUAAAUUAACAGUUUGGCUAGGAUGUCAAUCUGUUGACCAUACCUUAUAUUUUUCUUAUUUAUAACAAAGUUAAAGUUACUUUUAUAUUAUAGCUAUGUUAAAAUUUUUCUUUUUUUUUUUUCUGGUUGGGGUUAUAAACUAUUUAAGUAAUAAUUGUUAGUUUAAUUAAUCUUUAAAUUAGUAAUUGUAUUAUUUAUUUUUUUUCUCAAGUGUUGCCCGUCUGUUUAUUAAAAACAUUUCCAUAAUGAAGUUUUUAUGGUAGUGCCUGCUCUAUGUUUGUUAUAAAUGGCCGCAGUACUUUGACUGUGCGAAGGUAGCAUAAUUAAUUGCCUUAUAAUUGAGGGCUUGUUUGAAUGGUUUGACGUGGUAAUUACAGAAAUAGUUAAUUUUGUUGAAUUUACUUUUGAGGGUACAGAAGCCUCAGUGUUUAAUUAGACGGAAAGACCCCGGGAUCUUUUAUUUUGCUUGGGGCAAGUUAAAGUAAUUUACUUUUAUUGUGACCCCUAUGGUUUAAUGGUUUAAGUUACCCCGGGGAUAACAGUGUAAUAGUUUAGUAGAGAUCUUAUCGAUUAAGCUGUUUGUUACCUCGAUGUUGACUUAGAUUAAGACUCAGGCGUAGUAGUUUGAGUUGUGGGUCUGUUCGACCUUUAUGUUUAUCUCCAUGAGUUGAGUUAAGACCGGCGUGAGCCAGGUCGGUUCUUAUCUAUUGUUCUAGCUUAUUAGUACGAAAGGACCAUAAGUUUUUUUAUU